rnacentral:rRNA from 1 species
AUUGAACGCUGGCGGCAUGCUUUACACAUGCAAGUCGAACGGCAGCGCGGGCUUCGGCCUGGCGGCGAGUGGCGAACGGGUGAGUAAUGCAUCGGAACGUGCCCAGCAGUGGGGGAUAGGCCGGCGAAAGCCGGAUUAAUACCGCAUACGACCUGAGGGUGAAAGCGGGGGACCGAAAGGCCUCGCGCUAUUGGAGCGGCCGAUGUGGGAUUAGCUAGUUGGUGGGGUAAAGGCUUACCAAGGCGACGAUCCGUAGCUGGUCUGAGAGGACGACCAGCCACACUGGGACUGAGACACGGCCCAGACUCCUACGGGAGGCAGCAGUGGGGAAUUUUGGACAAUGGGGGCAACCCUGAUCCAGCCAUGCCGCGUGCGGGAAGAAGGCCUUCGGGUUGUAAACCGCUUUUGUUCGGGAAGAAAUCCUCUGGGCUAAUACCCCGGGGGGAUGACGGUACCGGAAGAAUAAGCACCGGCUAACUACGUG